UACGUAGGUGGCAAGCGUUGUCCGGAUUUAUUGGGCGUAAAGCGAGCGCAGGCGGUUCCUUAAGUCUGAUGUGAAAGCCCACGGCUCAACCGUGGAAGGUCAUUGGAAACUGGGGAACUUGAAUGCAGAAGAGGAGAGUGGAAUUCCAUGUGUAGCGGUGAAAUGCGUAGAUAUAUGGAGGAACACCAGUGGCGAAGGCGACUCUCUGGUCUGUAAUUGACGCUGAGGCUCGAAAGCGUGGGGAGCAAACAGG
rnacentral:rRNA from 1 species